CAGAGGCAUGGCCCCAGCCUGGCCCUGUAGCAGGGGUGUCAGCUUCACACCGCUGCUAUGGGGCAGGGCUGGGGUCAUGCUCUGUGCCCCAGGCUUCACUGGAGGAGACAGAGCCUAUCAGUACCAGACUAAAGGAGGCUGUAAAAGUGAAGAAAGAAAAGCACUGAAGGAAGUUCCAGAGCAAGUGUGAUCCUGGCACUAGAUUCAACUUGAGUGUUUAUUGAUAGAGCAAAACUGCUGCAGAUGGUCCGAUAUGGGAACUUCAGCAUGUCCAAAUGACUGAGGCAAACUCUCCUUUGAGACUGCAGACUCCUCUACUCAUCUUUACUUCUCAAAAGAUAGAUUUCAAAUGGCCUUCCCCCUGUAUUGACAUACGAUUAGUACUACUGCUGUGCCUCUGGGCCUUGUGGGCCACAGUUGCAGCCAGCAGUACGUUUCAGUAAGUUUAGCAGAGCAGGACAGCUCCAGUAAUGCCAACUGUCAUGAAACAAUCAUGAGACUCCUGAUUUCCAAAUCAAUGAACUCUAAGUCAUGAUCUCGAGAUAUAACCCUCAAAUCUUGGGACUUUUCCUGCCGGCCCAUGUAGAGAGCAUCCAGCUGAUUUCACAGAUUUCAUAGACAUUAGGGCUGGAAGGGACCUCGGAAGAUCAUCGAG